GAUGAACGCUGGCGGCGUGCCUAAUACAUGCAAGUCGAGCGAACAGACGAGGAGCUUGCUCCUCUGACGUUAGCGGCGGACGGGUGAGUAACACGUGGAUAACCUACCUAUAAGACUGGGAUAACUUCGGGAAACCGGAGCUAAUACCGGAUAAUAUAUUGAACCGCAUGGUUCAAUAGUGAAAGACGGUUUUGCUGUCACUUAUAGAUGGAUCCGCGCCGCAUUAGCUAGUUGGUAAGGUAACGGCUUACCAAGGCAACGAUGCGUAGCCGACCUGAGAGGGUGAUCGGCCACACUGGCACUGAGACACGGUCCAGACUCCUACGGGAGGCCGCAGUAGGGAAUCUUCCGCAAUGGGCGAAAGCCUGACGGAGCACCGCCGCGUGAGUGAUGAAGGUCUUCGGAUCGUAAAGCUCUGUUAUUAGGGAAGAACAAAUGUGUAAGUAACUAUGCACGUCUUGACGGUACCUAAUCAGAAAGCCACGGCUAACUACGUG
rnacentral:rRNA from 1 species